rnacentral:ncRNA from 1 species
AUGCGGGCCGGGCCCCUCUGGCGACGUGGAUGUUCACCCCUUGCAUCCCGUCGCGAUGUCGGACCGCAUCG